GAAUGACAUCUAUACAAUCAUCAUCCCCUGUUGAAGAUUUUGUGUUGGAAACACCAAGUUGUUAGUGUGGUUCAAAAGCACCACUAAAGACGUCGCAUACUACUAAAAAUCCUGGAAGGAAAUUUUUUAUCUGCCCAAACUAUGAGACGGAAAAGUGAGGAAAUGUGAAUUUUUCAUUUGAGCGGAUAUACUUGCAAGAGGAGAACAUUUAUACAAGAGAGAGUAAAGUUUGGAAGAUAUUGGAUGAUGUAUUGGUGCGCAAGAAUGAAGUUCGUAAAAAAGAGGUCCUCUUCUCCCCCACCAACACAGCAAGAGGUGAGGAUUUUCCUAUUAAAGAAUCAUUUAUAUUGAUAGUGAGAUCUAUAUUGAUUGGAAAGUCUAAUUUCUUUCUUAAUUAUAGGAGGGAAAUAGGAGGUCUAGUCCUUGGCCACGCAUGCAUGCAUGGCCUCAUAUAUGUUAUAUAUAGACAAAGACAACUUAUAAGUAGGGGUCCUUUGAUCUACUUCCAUUUAUGCUAAUAAAUUUUUUCAAUAUAAAUAUAUAGAUAUCCACUAAUUUAGAGCAACUAAUUUCUUUGGGGGACUUUAGAGUAUUAUAAUGAUUCAUGUAAUUUGUCAUAUUUUAAUAAAAAAAUGUAUCUUAAUUUGGCUA